GUUUGAAUUACUCACACUAUUUAAUAAAAUGUUAACAACCCAACUGGGGUCUAUGAGGAGUCCCUGCCUCCUCCUCCUUCAAGGAGUCCCACUGAGCUAGGUCCUGCAAUCAUCUGCAUCUGCUCUCAGCCAAGAGUGCAAUCCUGGACUGCUGACUUAGAUCAGUGCAUGGAUUUCUAAGUGCAGAGGAGGGAGUGGCAGGAUGUCAAAGUGUUCUUCUUAAACGGUUUGACUACUCAAAUGUGGGGGCACGGUACUCCUUAAAGCAUGUAGUGGUUAUGGUGCAUAGUCCCCC